UUUCAUCACAGCUUCAGAUGA
rnacentral:piRNA from 1 species